GAUUUUUGGCCGACUUGUCCAAUUGAGUAAAUAAUUAAUAUGACAUCAAAUAUGAAGAAAUAUUACUAGAAAUGAAAAUUGAAAUGAGUAGUGGAAGAAAAGAAAAGAAAAUGCAAAAAUAAGGCAAAAAUGACAUCAUUUAAAAAGUUGGACCAAUCACACUUAAGCCAUUGUUUGACUAACCAUUAAAAGAGAUAAGAGAAGACCAAAUUCAACAAAAUUUCAGCAGCCAUCCUUCUCUCCUUAGUGCAGCCAAAACGUGAACCUCUCUCCCUCUCUCAAACUCCAUUAAACCUCACUUCUCAAGCUUAAUUUCUCCCUUGUUUCACCACAAAACCCUAACCUCUCUUCAUUAAAAUUUUACUCCACACCUUAAACAACCUUUUGGCAGCCUUGAAAGUGAAGGAAAGUGAAGUUUAGAGGUGGGAAAAAUCUGCCCUAAGUGAGGUUAGUGCUACAAACUUCAUUCUCCUUCUUUUAAUCUUAGUUAGAAUAUCAUUUGAGCUAAGAAAUUUUAAAGAAUUGAAGUAAAUUACAUGAGUUAUGGUACUUUAAAUUUUCAGCAGCCCUAUGGAAGUAUGAGGUUGAUUGUUUUGAUAAAUUUAAAGUGGCUAGAAAUGAUGGUUAAAGUAUUAAAACACAUGGACAUUAAACUAAGUAUGUUAAUUAAGUUCAUGAGUAAAUUUAGUUGGAUAUUAGGGUUUGGAAGGGUGAAAAUGUGAAUUGGCUUAGGAAAUUGUUAGGGCACAUUGUAAUGGUCAAUUAGUGAC
rnacentral:misc_RNA from 1 species